AUUGAACGCUGGCGGCAUACUUUACACAUGCAAGUCGAACGGUAACAGGUUAAGCUGACGAGUGGCGAACGGGUGAGUAAUGCAUCGGAACGUGCCCGAUCGUGGGGGAUAACGCAGCGAAAGCUGCGCUAAUACCGCAUACGAUCUGAGGAUGAAAGCGGGGGACCGUAAGGCCUCGCGCGAUCGGAGCGGCCGAUGUCAGAUUAGGUAGUUGGUGGGGUAAAGGUCCACCAAGCCGACGAUCUGUAGCUGGUCUGAGAGGACGACCAGCCACACUGGGACUGAGACACGGCCCAGACUCCUACGGGAGGCAGCAGUGGGGAAUUUUGGACAAUGGGCGAAAGCCUGAUCCAGCAAUGCCGCGUGCAGGAAGAAGGCCUUCGGGUUGUAAACUGCUUUUGUACGGAGCGAAAAGGUCCUUUCUAAUACAAGGGGCUCAUGACGGUACCGUAAGAAUAAGCACCGGCUAACUACGUGCCAGCAGCCGCCGUAA
rnacentral:rRNA from 1 species